GACGAACGCUGGCGGCGUGCUUAACACAUGCAAGUCGAACGGUGAAGCGCCUUCCUUUUUGGUGGGUGUGGAUGAGUGGCGAACGGGUGAGUAACACGUGAGUAACCUGCCCCCUUCUUCUGGAUAACCGCAUGAAAGUGUGGCUAAUACGGGAUAUUCUGGGUCUGUCGCAUGAUGGGUCUGGGAAAGAUAUUGUUUCGGUGGGGGAUGGGCUCGCGGCCUAUCAGCUUGGUGGUGGGGUGAUGGCCUACCAAGGCGGUGACGGGUAGCCGGCCUGAGAGGGAGGACGGUCGCGAGGGGGCUGAGACACAGCCCGGACGCGUACGGGCGGCAGCAGUGGGGAGAAGUAGACGAUGGGCGCAAGCCUGAUGCAGCGACGGCGCGAGGGAGAUGGGGGCCGUCGGGGUGUAAAGCUCUUUCGCCGGUGAAGCAGGCCUGCCUCGUUUGUGGGUGGGUUGACGGUAGCUGGAUAAGAAGCGCCGGCUAACUACGUG
rnacentral:rRNA from 1 species